AUUGAACGCUGGCGGCAUGCUUUACACAUGCAAGUCGAACGGUAACAGGGUGCUUGCACCGCUGACGAGUGGCGAACGGGUGAGUAAUGCGUCGGAACGUGCCGAGUAGUGGGGGCUAACGCAGCGAAAGUUGUGCUAAUACCGCAUACGUACUGAGGUAGAAAGUGGGGGACCUUCGGGCCUCACGCUAUUCGAGCGGCCGACGUCUGAUUAGCUAGUAGGUGAGGUAAAGGCUCACCUAGGCGACGAUCAGUAGCGGGUCUGAGAGGAUGAUCCGCCACACUGGGACUGAGACACGGCCCAGACUCCUACGGGAGGCAGCAGUGGGGAAUUUUGGACAAUGGGCGAAGGCCUGAUCCAGCCAUGCCGCGUGUCUGAAGAAGGCCUUCGGGUUGUGAAGGACUUUUGUCAGGGAGGAAAUCCCUAGUGCUAAUAACACUGGGGGAUGACAGUACCUGAAGAAUAAGCACCGGCUAACUACGUGCCAGCCGCCGCGGUAA
rnacentral:rRNA from 1 species